UACGGAGGGGGCUAGCGUUGUUCGGAAUUACUGGGCGUAAAGGGCUCGUAGGCGGCCAACUAAGUCAGACGUGAAAUCCCUCAGCUUAACUGGGGAACUGCGUCUGAUACUGGAUGGCUUGGAUUCGGGAGAGGAAUGCGGAAUUCCAGGUGUAGCGGUGAAAUACGUAGAUAUCUGGAGGAACACCGGUGGCGAAGGCGGCAUUCUGGACCGAUAUUGACGCUGAGGAGCGAAAGCCAGGGGAGCAAACGGG
rnacentral:rRNA from 1 species